ensembl:snoRNA SCARNA16 small Cajal body-specific RNA 16
UUGGUCUGGGGAAAUGGCUACUGUGUUGCUGGCCCUGUUUGUCAGGGUUAGCCAUGUAUACUGUAGCCUGCCCCUGACCUAGAUUAUACCAGGGUAGUGUACUCUGGCAGUAGCAGGUGUGAGCAUGCAGUCAGCUCUUUGAUGCUCAUGUAUAAUACUGCACACACUA